CAAUCCCUAUCAUGAUUUUAAGUUUACCUUUGUAUAUAUACACCAUUAGACGGAGAGGUGGAAUCAGAAUUUAAAAUUUAUGAGUUUAAGAUUUUAGUUUGUUUUAAAAUCUUUUCUUGGAGUUCACACUUUUUUGCUCUAAUAGUGAUUCGAAUCUACAAUCUUGGAGUUGGAGAUGGAGGAUGGGUAAAAACUUACUCACACGGCAAUGGAGGAUCCAGGAUUUAGAGUUCAUGGGUGCUCGUGAGGUUCCACACAUAUUGAUGUAUAAAGUUUUAAGGUUCGCCUGAAAACUAAAUCACCUAGCUAUCGUAUUGGUUUCCUAGGUGCCUUUUGGAAGCUUUUACUAAUUUUUAUAUUUUUUUUAUAUAGUUAUACCUAAUCUGCGAUGGAUCUAACGGGUGCCGGAGCACCAAAGAAAUGCAUAUAGGUCCGCUCCUAACGGGUGUUUACACACAUGAUUGAAAGUUCAGAUUCAAAGGCAAAGACAAAGGAACGAACAUGUAAUCUAAGGAUACUCACCAUCUGAUCGACUUCCUCUUGUCAAUUCUAACCUUUUUAAAUUAUUGAGUUCAAAAUGAAUGAUUUGUACAUACCGAUGGAAUUUCUUAAAACAAAAUAUAGAGUUAGGACCAACGUUACUAAGUUUGGCAGAAUCCAUGUCUCGAAGGCUAACUCCACUGCUGACCAUCAGCGUAAAGAAAUUUAUACACUAUCAAAUCGCUUAAAAGAUAUCUAAAAGUAGUGAAGCCUUCAAAAAUGUGAAAAUUUAAAUCUUAAUAUUAUUAGUCCCUCGAUUAUUGAUAAACUAUGAUUUUGAUUCGAUUGAAGCAUACACUUUUGGUCCAUCUACCCCGUGAAUCUUCUUAUUGAACGAGAAUAAUAUAGUUUAGGAAAUAAUGUAAAUAUAAAAAGGGUCAAAAGGUGCAAUUAAAAAAAAGCGUCAUCUAUUUAAUUAAAUCCCCACGUGUCAUCUUAUAAUUUCGUUAAAUGGACAGUAUUGGACGUCCAAGCAAAAAAUAAAAAUUGAUAUAUAUGGUGGAAAGGAAUAGGAAGGGAAUAUAUAUAUUCUAAUAAAUUAAAAUUUACCUAAAGAUACACAACCUACCAAAAGAUAAGCUUAACGAAGUUGAAAUCAAAUAAUCCAUUGAACUUCUUGAUAAAAAUGACAAAAUAGAAGCUAUAAAAUCGACUUUGUUAUAAAAUUGACAGCAAAUUUAGAAGUCAAUUUUCAGAAACAAUUUUAUUGUCCAUUAUUUUGUCGUCUUCAUUUGAUUUCAUGUUUCAUCAAAGUUUAUUUAUUUAACCAGUCCACAGAAAUAUUCUUUCUUAUACUCCUUUGAUUCCACGGCUUCAUAAAUAAGUAAUAAUAAUUCACUAUUUUUUUUUCUUAUAUAAAAGUUAAAACAUCAAAUGGAUAAAAUUGAAUUUCCUCCUUUAAGUUGGUCUAUGCCGUUCAACUUACCGUAGGUGUGCACAAGUCGAUACUUAUAAAGUUGAACAAACAGACACGCACGUGUCUUACAAAACGUAAUACAAAUACAAAUCAGUUGACACGUGUACACACGUAGGAAGCAUACGUCUACUUGUUCAACUUUAUACAAACUUAAGUACAUAAUUGUGUACAACAAAAGUUCGAAAAUAUAAAUGUCAACCGAGGUCAAGUUGGA
rnacentral:lncRNA from 1 species